rnacentral:misc_RNA from 1 species
GAUGAAGAACGCAGCAAAAUGCGAUAAGUAAUGUGAAUUGCAGAAUUCAGUGAAUCAUCGAAUCUUUGAACGCACAUUGCGCCCGCCAGUAUUCUGGCGGGCAUGCCUGUUCGAGCGUCAUUUCAACCCUCAAGCACAGCUUGGUGUUGGGACUCGCGUUAAUUCGCGUUCCCCAAAUUGAUUGGCGGUCACGUCGAGCUUCCAUAGCGUAGUAGUAAAACCCUCGUUACUGGUAAUCGUCGCGGCCACGCCGUUAAACCCCAACUUCUGAAUGUUGACCUCGGAUCAGGUAGGAAUACCCGCUGAACUUAAGCAUAUCAAUAAGCGGAG